rnacentral:tmRNA from 1 species
GGGGCUGAUUGGUUUUGACAGCAUGAUGGUGGAACUGUAAGCAUGCCGGGCGUCGGGGAAAGGCCCGUAAUAACUACCCUAAUGCCAAUAAAUGGCAACAAUUACAACUAUGCAAUGGCUGCUUAAUCAGGAAGAUUAAGUGCUGUGCUGUCCCCCAGGAAGCUUUGCCUUGCAGCGUCCUGGUAAGGGCAUCGUAAAUGCGGGGCUGCGUAAGGUUUUGUCCCGAAACCUUACUAAGAAAAUAGGGACUCAGGAAUUUGGCGGAUGAGUCCCUGCUUUGCCAGAUUCCGAAACAUCCACAGGGAAUAAGCAUGUAGAAAGCAGUUUUGCUGUAUGUUUGGACCGGAGUUCGACUCUCCGCAGCUCCACUU